AGGAAAAACUACUAAAGGAGGGUGUUCCACAUUAUUAAGCAGAGCACCAUUUUCAUGCAAUAUGGGGAAGAAAAAGGAUCUCUCUGCUGCCGAAAAGAGUGAAAUAGUUCAAUGCCUUGAACGAGGUAUGAAAACAUUAGAUAUUUCACGAAAACUUAAGCGUGAUCAGCGCACUAUUAAGAGAUUUGUGGCUGAUUCAGAACACAGACGGG